AACGAACGCUGGCGGCAUACCUAACACAUGCAAGUCGAACGAGAUCUUCGGGUCUAGUGGCGCACGGGUGCGUGACGCGUGGGAAUCUGCCCUUUGGUUCGGAAUAACAGUUGGAAACGACCGCUAAUACCGGAUGAUGACGAAAGUCCAAAGAUUUAUCGCCAGAGGAUGAGCCCGCGUAGGAUUAGCUAGUCGGUGUGGUAAAGGCGCACCAAGGCGACGAUCCUUAGCUGGUCUGAGAGGAUGAUCAGCCACACUGGGACUGAGACACGGCCCAGACUCCUACGGGAGGCAGCAGUGGGGAAUAUUGGACAAUGGGCGAAAGCCUGAUCCAGCAAUGCCGCGUGAGUGAUGAAGGCCUUAGGGUUGUAAAGCUCUUUUACCCGGGAUGAUAAUGACAGUACCGGGGGAAUAAGCUCCGGCUAACUCCGUGCCAGCCGCCGCCGUAA
rnacentral:rRNA from 1 species